rnacentral:rRNA from 1 species
AUUUUGGAAGUAAAAGUCGUAACAAGGUUUCCGUAGGUGAACCUGCGGAAGGAUCAUUACCGAGUGCGGGCUGCCUCCGGGCGCCCAACCUCCCACCCGUGACUACCUAACACUGUUGCUUCGGUGGGGAGCCCCCUAGGGGCGAGCCGCCGGGGGACCAUGAACUUCAUGCCUGAGAGUGAUGCAGUCUGAGCCUGAAUACAAAUCAGUCAAAACUUUCAACAAUGGAUCUCUUGGUUCCGGCAUCGAUGAAGAACGCAGCGAACUGCGAUAAGUAAUGUGAAUUGCAGAAUUCAGUGAAUCAUCGAGUCUUGAACGCACAUUGCGCCCCCUGGCAUUCCGGGGGGCAUGCCUGUCCGAGCGUCAUUGCUGCCCUCAAGCCCGGCUUGUGUGUUGGGUCGUCGUCCCCCCCGGGGGACGGGCCCGAAAGGCAGCGGCGGCACCGUGUCCGGUCCUCGAGCGUAUGGGGCUUUGUCACCCGCUCGAUUAGGGCCGGCCGGGCGCCAGCCGGCGUCUCCAACCUUAUUUUUCUCAGGUUGACCUCGGAUCAGGUAGGGAUACCCGCUGAACUUA